GGUACUGUAGGGUAGAGGGUGACACAGGAAUCAAUUGUCGCUCCCAUCCCAUCUCGAGCCCACAAAAAUACUCCCGUCAUAUCCCGAUCACGUGACUGAAAACUCUUGAGAUAA